GGGUAAAUGAAAAUGGUUUGUUUAGUAAUUAAAAGAAACUUUUAGUGGCUAUCUUUUAUGUGGAGUUAGUAGUGAAAUAUGGAAUCUGAUUUAUAAAAGUUAAGUUCUAAAUAGAAUUUUUGAAGUUAUAAAAAUAAAGGUAUAAAAUAGGAUUAGAUACCCUACUAUACUUUAUAGAAAAUUUUUAAUGCAUAGGUAGUAGUAGAUAUGGUCUUGAAAUCUAAAAGAUUUGGCGGUAUCUAAGUCUAGUUAGAGGAACCUGUUAUGUAAGCGAUAAUCCACGGAUAUCUAUCCUCAUUUUGUAAUUUUCAGUAUGUAUACCGCCAUUAUUAGGUAAUUUUAAAAGAUAUUUACUAAAAUAAGUUUUUUCUUAGUAUAUUAGGUCAAGGUGCAGCUAAUGGUGGGGGAUUGAAUGGGUUACAAUGAUAUUUAAAUUAUACGAAUAGAUAAAGGAAGUGUUUUCUUGAAGGAGGAUUUAAUUGUAAAUAACGUGUAUUUUGCGUUUUUGAUAAUAGCUCUUAGAUAUGUACAUAUCGCCCGUCGUUCUCAUUAA
rnacentral:rRNA from 1 species